GAGCACGUAGGUGGGUUUGUAAGUCAGAUGUGAAAGCCUUCUGUUCAACGGAAGAAUUGCAUCUGAAACUGCGAGUCUUGAGUGUAGGAGGGGAGAAUGGAACUUCUGGUGGAGCGGUGAAAUGCGUAGAUAUCAGAAGGAACGCCGGCGGCGAAAGCGAUUCUCUGGCCUAUUACUGACACUCAGUGUGCGAAAGCUAGGGGAGCAAACGGGAUUAGAUACCCCGGUAGUCCUAGCUGUAAACGAUGGGCACUAAGUAGAGGGGAUUACCGAUGUUCUCUCUGCCGUAGCUAACGCAUUAAGUGCCCCGCCUGGGGAGUACGGCCGCAAGGCUAAAACUCAAAAGAAUUGACGGGGGCUCACACAAGCGGUGGAGCAUGUGGUUUAAUUCGAUGCAACGCGGAGAACCUUACCGGGGCUUGACAUGGUAGAAGUAGGAACCCGAAAGGGUAACGAACGGUAUCCAGUCCGUAGCUAUUACAGGUGUUGCAUGGCUGUCGUCAGCUCGUGUCGUGAGACGUUGGGUUAAGUCCCCUAACGAGCGAAACCCUUGUUUUUAGUUGCCAGCGGGUUAUGCCGGGCACCCUAGAAAGACUGCCGUCGUCAAGACGGAGGAAGGUGGGGAUGACGUCAAGUCAUCAUGGCCCUUAUGCCCCGGGCUACACACGUGCUACAAUGGCCGGUACAAACGGAAGCGAAGCCGAGAGGUGAAGCGAAUCC
rnacentral:rRNA from 1 species